rnacentral:tRNA from 1 species
CCUGGGCUGGCUGAGUGGUUAAGGUGUUGGACUUAAGAUCCAGUGGGCUAGCGCCCAUGUGGGUUUGAACCCUAUUCUCAGUA